rnacentral:rRNA from 1 species
UAGGGAAUAUUGGACAAUGGGGGAAACCCUGAUCCAGCCAUGCCGCGUGAGUGAUGAAGGCCUUAGGGUUGUAAAGCUCUUUCGCUAGUGAAGAUAAUGACUGUAACUAGAUAAGAAGCCCCGGCUAACUUCGUGCCAGCAGCCGCGGUAAUACGAAGGGGGCGAGCGUUGUUCGGAAUUACUGGGCGUAAAGCGCGCGUAGGCGGCUUGGCCAGUCAGAUGUGAAAGCCCAGGGCUCAACCCUGGAACU